AGAAACUCAUCCAAUGCUUAAUUUUCAAUCAGUUUUCACAUCUUUAAUCAGCAUGUUUUACACUCACUGGCUUUAUCAGAGUGUCUGCAGGUUCUUACAAAGUCUGACAUUUAUUAUAAUUUAGAUUUGACACACAUUUUAUCUAAUUCUGUGUAUCGUCUACUAUCAGAGUGAAUCAAGGUCCACAUUUAUGACACUUUAAACAACCACUGAACCUAAUGCUGGUAAAGGUUAACCAAACUCACUCUAAUAAUCACAUUCCUACAUGAAACUUAUGUCUCACAUAUUUACUACUUACCUUUAUAUUCCUGUUCCGCUUGAAUUAGAUGAUUUGUCUGAAAGGUUCUUAAAUUUGGUUAAAAACUGUCACAAAUUUAAGCCCAUAAACACCUGUUUAUUGUGAAAAACAAUUAUUUUUUUCAUUUAUAUUCAUAUUUGUUUGGAACAGAAUAUUAAAUAGAUGGAUAAGUGGCUAAAUAUCACAACUCAAUUGAAAUGUAAAAUUAGAUGUGAAACUCAGGCAACUUAAUCAUACUUUGCAAAGUUUGGUAUUUAUUUUAGUGUUUUAGUGUUAUUUUAGUGACAUAAUGAUGCCACGUGCCAAUAGAUAGUUUUAAAAUAAAAUAACUAUUUUCUCUGAAUUUGACCAUUAUUGCAAGUAUUUUAUAUAGUCUAAGUACAGAAGUCUGCAAAAUUUAUAACAUAGGCUUAGUCGUUUCUGAAAUUUUAACUCAGAAAUGGUGCAUUUUAUGCCUUUAGUUGGAAAUUUGCACAAAAGUUCUAGAGAAGAGAAAAGAGAAACAUGAUAACAUUAAUGUAACUAUCAUGCACGGUUGUAACGCAAAAAAUUCUAAAUACAGUGAGAAAUAGGCCUAUCCCUGUGGUCAUUUUUAUAAACUAUUAAUUUACUGAAUAAAUGUAGAAACUGUACUGUAAUGCGAUAUGUACCAUUACCUGGAUAUGAAAUGACUUCUAUCAGGAUAUGAGGUUUUGGUCACUUUUACUUACAGGUGAAAUGGAGAAGUAAGUACAUUGCA